UGUGAGUUCAACAUUUCAUGACUGAGAGCUGUCCUUCAUGACAACAGAACCCACAACAACCAUGACUUUUAUCACCAUCUUCAUCUGGAUAUUUGCCCUGUGUCUCCAAGAGUCCAGAGGGCAGUACACUGUGAAUCAGACUCCUGCAGUGAAAGCUGUUUCAGAGGGUCACUCAGUCAGUCUCAGCUGUAAGACCAGCAGUGCUGUGUACAGUGACUUCUUUGGACAGAGGAUGGCCUGGUACCAACAGAAACCUGGAGGAGCUCCUAAACUCCUAAUAUACUUAGCUAAAACCCUUCAGUCUGGGACUCCAUCUAGAUUCAGUGGCAGUGGAUCUGGGAGUGACUUCACUCUGACCAUCAGUGGAGUCCAGGCUGAAGAUGCAGGAGAUUACUACUGUCAGAGUUACCACAGUGGUGAUGUGUUCACACAGUGAUACAGAGUCGUACUAAAACCUCCCUC